ACACUGUAUACAUAAUAAAUCUUU
rnacentral:piRNA from 1 species